rnacentral:rRNA from 1 species
UGGGGAAUAUUGGACAAUGGGCGCAAGCCUGAUCCAGCAACGCCGCGUGAAGGAUGAAGUAUUUCGGUAUGUAAACUUCGUAAGAAUAGGAAGAAUAAAUGACGGUACUAUUUGUAAGGUCCGGCUAACUACGUGCCAGCAGCCGCGGUAAUACGUAGGGACCAAGCGUUGUUCGGAUUUAUUGGGCGUAAAGGGCGCGUAGGCGGCCAGAUAAGUCCCGGGUGAAAUCCCUCGGCCCAACCGAGGAACUGCCUUGGAAACUGUCUGGCUCGAGGCCGGGAGAGGGUAGUGGAAUUCCCAGUGUAGCGGUGAAAUGCGUAGAUACUGGGAGGAACACCGGUGGCGAAGGCGGCUACCUGGACCGGUUCUGACGCUGAUGCGCGAAAGCGUGGGAGCAAACAGGAUUAGAUACCCGCGUAGUCCCUGAGCGGGCUGGCAAGGCGCAU